rnacentral:rRNA from 1 species
AUGACGCGGCGGCGUGCUUAACACUUGCAAGUCGAACGAUGAACCCGAAGCUUGCUUGGGGGAUUAGUGGCGAACGGGUGAGUAACACGUGAGCAACUGCCCCUCACUCUGGGAUAAGCGCUGGAAACGGCGUCUAAUACUGGAUACGAGAUGCGACCGCAUGGUCAGUGUCUGGAAAGAUUUUUUGGUGGGGGAUGGGCUCGCGGCCUAUCAGCUUGUUGGUGAGGUAAUGGCUCACCAAGGCGUCGACGGGUAGCCGGCCUGAGAGGGUGACCGGCCACACUGGGACUGAGACACGGCCCAGACUCCUACGGGAGGCAGCAGUGGGGAAUAUUGCACAAUGGGCGGAAGCCUGAUGCAGCAACGCCGCGUGAGGGAUGACGGCCUUCGGGUUGUAAACCUCUUUUAGCAGGGAAGAAGCGAAAGUGACGGUACCUGCAGAAAAAGCACCGGCUAACUACGUGCCAGCAGCCGCGGUAAUACGUAGGGUGCAAGCGUUAUCCGGAAUUAUUGGGCGUAAAGAGCUCGUAGGCGGUUUGUCGCGUCUGCUGUGAAAUCCCGAGGCUCAACCUCGGGCCUGCAGUGGGUACGGGCAGACUAGAGUGCGGUAGGGGAGAUUGGAAUUCCUGGUGUAGCGGUGGAAUGCGCAGAUAUCAGGAGGAACACCGAUGGCGAAGGCAGAUCUCUGGGCCGUAACUGACGCUGAGGAGCGAAAGGGUGGGGAGCAAACAGGCUUAGAUACCCUGGUAGUCCACCCCGUAAACGUUGGGAACUAGUUGUGGGGUCCUUUCCACGGAUUCCGUGACGCAGCUAACGCAUUAAGUUCCCCGCCUGGGGAGUACGGCCGCAAGGCUAAAACUCAAAGGAAUUGACGGGGACCCGCACAAGCGGCGGAGCAUGCGGAUUAAUUCGAUGCAACGCGAAGAACCUUACCAAGGCUUGACAUACACGAGAACGGGCCAGAAAUGGUCAACUCUUUGGACACUCGUGAACAGGU